rnacentral:rRNA from 1 species
UACGGAGGAUCCGAGCGUUAUCCGGAUUUAUUGGGUUUAAAGGGUGCGUAGGCGGACUGGUAAGUCAGUGGUGAAAUCCUGCAGCUUAACUGUAGAAUUGCCGUUGAUACUGUUAGUCUUGAGUACAUUUGAGGUAGGCGGAAUGUGGUGUGUAGCGGUGAAAUGCAUAGAUAUACCACAGAACACCGAUUGCGAAGGCAGCUUACUAAUCCAUCAUUGACGCUGAGGCACGAAAGCGUGGGGAUCAAACAGGAUUA